UACGUAGGGUGCGAGCGUUAAUCGGAAUUACUGGGCGUAAAGCGUGCGCAGGCGGUGAUGUAAGACAGAUGUGAAAUCCCCGGGCUCAACCUGGGAACUGCAUUUGUGACUGCAUCGCUGGAGUGCGGCAGAGGGGGAUGGAAUUCCGCGUGUAGCAGUGAAAUGCGUAGAGAUGUGGAGGAACACCGAUGGCGAAGGCAGCCCCCUGGGUUAACACUGACGCUCAGGCACGAAAGCGUGGGGAGCAAACAGG
rnacentral:rRNA from 1 species